GAGGGUAUAGCUCAGUGGUAGAGUGCAUGUCUAGCAUGCACAAGGUCCUGAGUUAAAUUCCCAGUACCUCUG
rnacentral:tRNA from 1 species